AGGAGAAGCAGAAGGAGAAAAGUCUCUCUCUCUCCUCUCUUUCUCUCUCUAUCUCGAGCCGUGAAGCGCAGUGACCGACUCCCUCAUCCUACUUCCUCCCAAGUUCCGAAUUUUAAUAAAGAAAACGACGAACCCAUCUCCGGAUGUGAAGCAUGACGCGCGUACAUCCACGCUAAUACCCGUCUCCCGUGAAAUGUAGCUCCCCGGGAUUGCUUCCACCUCGCAGAAGAUGGCCAAAGCCUGCCCACAGGGCAAUGACAUCGGCUCCCUCCUCCUCAACCGCGCCUCCACCUCCACCGCCACCGCCUCGAGCCGCCCCUGGCCCUCGUUCUCCGCCUCUGCCCUCCGCCGCCGCCUCCUUGACGCCGUUCGCUGCGGCGGCGGCUCCUUCUCCUCCCGCCGCCGCCACCGCCACCGCAGGGCCCCCGAGACCCCCCCGGACCCCCCAAAGUCGGACCCCGACCCGCCGCGGCCCAGAACCCUAGCGACGUUCGUGUCCAAGUCGGAGAAGCUCAUCGACUUGCUCCAGCUGGCGGAGAUCCACGAGAGGCAGGAGAGCGACGUGGAGACGAGGAAGAAGGUGGAGGUCUUGGAGAAGCUGAAGCGCGUGGUGAGAGAUUUGCAGAAUGUGGAGGGGGAGGAAGAGGUGGGCAGCGAGGGGAAGAUGAGAGAGAGUGCUCGCACUGUGAGGCUGCUUGCGAAGGAGGACUCGGCGGCGAGGACGACGCUCGCGAUGCUAGGAGCGAUUCCGCCAUUGGUGGGAAUGCUUGAUUCUUCGGAUCUCGAGUCGCGGAUUGCUUCCCUCUACGCUGUGCUUAAUCUCGGCAUUGGCAAUGAUAUGAACAAGGCAGCCAUUGUCAAAGCAGGGGCUGUUCAUAAGAUGUUGAAGCUUAUUGAAUCUCCUGAGGAGACCAUAGACCCGUCAAUCUCAGAAGCUAUAGUGGCGAAUUUUCUUGGCUUGAGUGCUUUAGAUUCGAACAAACCCAUCAUCGGAUCAUCAGGUGCAAUCCCCUUUUUGGUGAAUACCCUUAUAGAUAGAGACCACAAGAGUAGCCCUCAAGCAAAGCAAGAUGCUCUCAGAGCUCUCUACAACCUUUCGAUCUUCCCCUCCAAUGUCUGCAUAAUAAUCGAAACUGAUUUAGUCCCUUUUCUUAUGAAUGCCUUGGGAGACAUGGAAAUCAGUGAACGGAUAUUAUCUACACUCAGCAAUAUUGUAUCUACCCCCGAAGGCAGAAAGGCGAUCAGCAGAGUUAAAGAUGCAUUCCCUAUACUGGUUGACAUAUUAAACUGGACCGACUCGCCAGGUUGCCAAGAGAAAGCGUCGUACAUUUUGAUGGUGAUGGCUCACAAAGCUUAUGGUGAUAGGCAGGCAAUGAUCGAGGCUGGAAUCGUAUCGGCAUUGCUCGAAUUGACGCUGCUUGGCAGUACAUUGGCACAGAAGAGAGCUUCGAGGAUACUGGAGUGUUUGAGAGUGGAUAAAGGGAAGCAGAUUUCAGAGAGCUAUGGAGGCAGUAGCAUGAGUGCAGCAGUAUCUGCUCCUAUAUACGGGGCUUCAUCAGCUACACAGAGUGUUAAUGGAGGUUCGAAGGAGCCUAUGGAGGAUGAAGACAUGAUGAGCGAGGAGAAGAAAGCGGUGAAGCAAUUGGUUCAACAGAGUUUGCAGAGCAACAUGAGGAGGAUUGUCAAGAGAGCUAAUUUGCCUCAAGAUUUCGUCCCUUCGGAUCAUCUCAAGUCGCUCACUGCUAGUUCUACUUCAAAGAGCUUGCCAUUUUGAGAACUGAUGCUUCGAAAGGUUAUUUAGAAGUUAGUUUACCUUGUCUUAAACAUUGCCCAAAUGUCCUACACUGUGAAAAAGCUGAGCUCACAACGUGUCUUUGGUUUUCCUAAUUUCACUUCAGCUCCACAUUCUUCUGAAUCAAUUCAAUUUGUGUGAAGGGAAGAAGUGCCCAAAGUUACAACCUUUUUCUUUCAGAUCUACCUGGGUUUGUUCUUUUUUUUUUUUCUUGGGCAAAUCUGGCUUAUACAGCCAUCAAGUAGGGUUACUACAUGGUUGGUGGUAUGAAUGUAAAUGUAGGAAAUUCGGGGGCACUUUUUGGUCCAUAAGUAACUAGGAGCGCUACACCCAACAAUCAAGGGGGAGUCAUUUUCAACAGUCUCACUGGGCUCUGUUUCUAUUUAAUAUUCAUUGGCUUCGCUUGUGUUGGAAGUGGAAGGGGUGGCGGUCAUUUUCUUCUGUCUGGAAAUAGAGACUAUUCACUGCUUUAGACCUUACAUGGGAAUCUAUUCCUGUAGUUGUUUUUUUCAAAUGUGGGUCUGAACUAUACAAAAGGUUUCAUAUGGAAUCUAAUUAGCACUUGACAGGGUGGAAAUCUGUAGGAAAUGAAUCGCCCUUCUCGCUUUGGUUGUGGGAGGAGAAGAAUCCGAGCUUGUUGAUAUUAAGAAUAAACCCAUGUUUCCUUCCCCUCAAGGUAUAUAAAUAUGUUCUUGGGAGUGGUUCUGAUUAAGUCAUAGUGAUCAUCUUGUUAUCGCUGUUUAAUGUAGGGGUUACCGGCAUCAUUACUGUGUGAUCUCGGUUUUGUGUAUAUAUUUUUGUUCUGCUGCUGCAACUUUCAGUGUUAUCUGGGUAGCUUUU